rnacentral:rRNA from 1 species
GUGGGGAAUCUUGCGCAAUGGGCGAAAGCCUGACGCAGCCAUGCCGCGUGAAUGAUGAAGGUCUUAGGAUUGUAAAAUUCUUUCACCGGGGACGAUAAUGACGGUACCCGGAGAAGAAGCCCCGGCUAACUUCGUGCCAGCAGCCGCGGUAAUACGAAGGGGGCUAGCGUUGCUCGGAAUUACUGGGCGUAAAGGGCGCGUAGGCGGACAGUUAAGUUGGGGGUGAAAGCCCGGGGCUCAACCUCGGAACUGCCUUCAAUACUGGCUGUCUUGAGUAUGAGAGAGGUGUGUGGAACUCCGAGUGUAGAGGUGAAAUUCGUAGAUAUUCGGAAGAACACCAGUGGCGAAGGCGACACACUGGCUCAUUACUGACGCUGAGGCGCGAAAGCGUGGGGAGCAAACAGGAUUAGAAACCCUAGUAGUCC